rnacentral:tRNA from 1 species
AACCAAGAAAUGAAUCUUCAUAUAUGGUUUCGACCCAUAUCUAGGUAUUUUAUUACCCUUGUUUU